AGCUAAAAAAAAAAGUAAAAAUUAAAAAUUAAAAAAAAAGGAUGCAAAGUAGAAAGUCAGCAGCCAAAUUGAUUUGGAAGAGAUAUAGGCCCGUGCCCCUAUUGACUUAGUCCAUUGUCAGAGCCCAGAGCCAGAGCAGCAGAUACGGGCAAUACAGGACAACCCAAAACUCAUAGUAGAGGUGUUGGUGGCAUCCCCAGUAGGAAGGAACCUGUUACGAAGUAAGCUAAAGACGCCAACUCUAAAGAGAUGAGUCCGGGAGGGCCCAGGGAUUUCUGGGAUAUGGCCAUAGAAUGUUUCUUAGGAUUCCUGAAUCUGUUUUACUAAAAGCAUCUUUAGUGAUAUUGAAAACUGAUUUCCUCUUUUCCAAUAUAUAACAUUUGUAACUCUCAAAGGCACCCUUAGAGGAAAUCCAGCCUCACUGGCCAAGCCAGUUUCCGAGAGCUCCUCCGAGCUGCCGUCCCUCACUGGGUGUUUCAGGGUGUCUUUGGUGGCAAAGAUGGCCCCUUCCUGAUAAACGCCAAGUUCAGCACCUCCAAGCAACUGUGCGAGCAUAUGCAUUUGCCCUUAAAAAUUAGCAGAGGAUGUCACGGAGGCACAAUUUACCAACUGGGUGCAACAGACACCGGGCUGGCUCCUGAACUUCUCUCCUCCAAUUAAGCUACACAACCUGUUACCAUUUUGCCAAUGGACUCUAUUUACUUAGGUUCUGCUUAACUUGCCAAGUGCUCACUCGGUGGAAUUCCCAGCAAAGAGAAAGGAACAAGUGGGGGAAAUUUUUGUUAACAUCCUUUCUUUUAACUUUCCCUAGCAGAGGGGAAUGCAUCAACAUGGAGCAGAUGUGCUGAGACCAAAUGCUCUCUUCCUCAUGAUUACAGUUGGUUAUACCUGUGGAUA